UACGUAGGGUGCGAGCGUUGUCCGGAAUUAUUGGGCGUAAAGAGCUCGUAGGCGGUCUGUCGCGUCGAUCGUGAAAACUUGGGGCUUAACCCUGAGCUUGCGGUCGAUACGGGCAUGACUGGAGUUCGGCAGGGGAGACUGGAAUUCCUGGUGUAGCGGUGAAAUGCGCAGAUAUCAGGAGGAACACCGGUGGCGAAGGCGGAUCUCUGGGCCUUGCCUGACGCUGAGGCGCGAAAGCUAGGGGAGCGAACAGG
rnacentral:rRNA from 1 species